rnacentral:rRNA from 1 species
UUAACCCNGGNUGUGCAGUGGGUACGGGCAGACUAGAGUGCAGUAGGGGAGACUGGAAUUCCUGGUGUAGCGGUGGAAUGCGCAGAUAUCAGGAGGAACACNGAUGGCGAAGGCAGNUCUNUGGGCUGUUACUGACGCUGAGGAGCGAAAGCAUGGGGAGCGAACAGGAUUAGAUACCCUGGUAGUNCAUNCCNGUAAACGUUGGGCACUAGGUGUGGGGGACAUUCCACGUUUUCCGCGCCGUANNUAACGCAUUAAGUGCCCCGCCUGGGGAGUACGNCCGCAAGGCUAAAACUCAAAGGAAUUGACGGGGGNCCGCACAAGCGGCGGAGCAUGCGGAUUAAUUCGAUGCAACGCGAAGAACCUUNCCAAGGCUUGACAUAUACCGGAUCGUUCCAGAGAUGGUUCUUCCCCUUUGGGGUCGGUAUACAGGUGGUGCAUGGUUGUCGUCAGCUCGUGUCGUGAGAUGUUGGGUUAAGUCCCGCAACGAGCGCAACCCUCGUUCCAUGUUGCCAGCACGUGAUGGUGGGGACUCAUGGGAGACUGCCGGGGUCAACUCGGAGGAAGGUGGGGAUGACGUCAAAUCAUCAUGCCCCUUAUGUCUUGGGCUUCACGCAUGCUACAAUGGCCGGUACAAAGGGUUGCGAUNCNNUGAGGUGGAGCUAAUCCCAAAAAGCCGGUCUCAGUUCGGAUUGAGGUCUGCAACUCGACCUCAUGAAGUCGGAGUCGCUAGUAAUCGCAGAUCANCAACGCUGCGGUGAAUACGUUCCCGGGCCUUGUACACACCGCCCGUCAAGUCACGAAAGUCGGUAACACCCGAAGCCGGUGGNCCAACCCUUGNGGA